UGAGGAUGCUGAGAGACUCAUUCCAGAUGUCAAUCUGA
rnacentral:ncRNA from 1 species